rnacentral:rRNA from 1 species
CGGACGGGUGAGUAAUGUCUGGGAAACUGCCCGAUGGAGGGGGAUAACUACUGGAAACGGUAGCUAAUACCGCAUAACGUCGCAAGACCAAAGAGGGGGACCUUCGGGCCUCUUGCCAUCGGAUGUGCCCAGAUGGGAUUAGCUAGUAGGUGGGGUAACGGCUCACCUAGGCGACGAUCCCUAGCUGGUCUGAGAGGAUGACCAGCCACACUGGAGCUGAGACACGGUCCAG